rnacentral:lncRNA from 1 species
UGAUGUCUCAAUUUAACAUAUGUUUUGGGCCUUACCAUGACCUUCUGGCUUCUCUGACUGUGCACCUGGAGCAGUGGGUCUUCCAAGCAUUGUUUGGUUGGAGCAUGGAACUACUGAAUGGACUUUCAGAAGCCUACCACGUUUAUAUCAGAAUCGAAAUUGUCCUAGAUGGCAUUAUCCUGCACAUUUAUGGAUUGGAAGAUUUUAGGACUUUAACAAUGUUUGUGGUUGUGGCGCUAGCUUGCAGUCUCCGGAUCAAACGAAAUCGAG